rnacentral:rRNA from 1 species
CGCGUAGGCGGGCCUUCAAGUCGGAUGUGAAAACCCCGGGCUUAACUCGGGGCCUGCAUUCGAAACUGGAGGCCUUGAGUACAGGAGAGGAAAGUGGAAUUCCAGGUGUAGCGGUGAAAUGCGUAGAUAUCUGGAAGAACACCAGUAGCGAAGGCGGCUUUCUGGACUGAUACUGACGUUAAAGCGCGAAGGCUUGGGGAGCAAACA